rnacentral:lncRNA from 1 species
CGGCUCUGGCCCCGGCGCCGCGGGUGCGCUGCGGAUGGGCUUGGGGCGCACCCAGCGAGCAGCGAGAGUCGCGGUGUCCCGGGCGCUCGCUGGCACCGUGGCCGCAGCGGCCGGCCUGGGAGCCAGGAGGGCGAGGCGGCUGCACCUUCGGGGCCAGAUUGGAGUUCGAAGAGUGGCGGGUACCCCAGAAGCUCGGGGCCGGGGCGAUGGCUGCAGCCUCGGGAGGGUAUCGCCGGAUCGAACUCCGGGAAAGGGAAGCAAAGGCAUGGAACCUCCGCACACUGGAUGAGAAUCCAUCUUCCAUUCGAGCUGGGAAUAGACUUUGUGAAAGAUAUUAUGUAAUGGAGUCUCGGGAACCCUGAGACCUCUCCAGCGAAGCUGAAGUGCUGUGUUACGGGAGAGAGUGACUGGAAAGUAACAAAGCUGAAUCUUUCUCCCUGGAGUAAGGCCGAAGACUGGAUUACUACACGCCUAGACGUGACACUACACCCAUAGAUCUCAUGCAUCAUUAAUGCCAUAUGACAUUGCCAUUUUCUUUCUCAGUUCACGGACAAAAGUGGUGGGUUUUCAUUGUCUUCACUGAUUGUCAAUGCAUUAAUAAAGAAGAUGUGUGGU